AGGCAGCAGGCGCGCAAAUUACCCAUUUCAGACUCUGAGAGGUAGUGACGAGAAAUACCGAUGCCGGGCCUCGACGGGCGCCGACAAUCGAAAUGAGCGCAGCUCAAAACACUGAUGUCGUUCCGUUCAACGGUCGGGCGUCGCGAGGCGUCGCGGCCGCUUGGACGUGUGUCGUGCAAGUAUCGAUCGGAGGGCAAGUCUGGUGCCAGCAGCCGCGGUAAUUCCAGCUCCGAAAGCGUAUGCUCAUGCUGUUGCGGUUGAAAAGCUCGUAGUUGGAAAUAAGCUUUUCGCCGUUCGCGCGCCGGCCGCGAGGCCGCGCGUCGCGAUCGAAACGAAAGAUGGUGAAGUUCGGCGGGCGCGUUCCGAGAGGGCGCGUCCGCGCGAGUUCGAACGCGGACGGCCGGCGUGGCUCCCAUCUCGAUGGAAGUUGCACGUCGAGAGUCGUUCGCAAGUUGCCCUGAAGAAAUUGAAGCGAUCAGGGCGGGUCGACGCUAAGCAAAGACUCGGGCCGCGAGGUUCGAAGUCGACCGAGAACAGUCGUGCAUGGUACAACGGAAGACGGCCGCGGCUCUGCCGCCGGCGUCGAGAUAUGUGCGCGUGGCAAUGAUCAAGAGGGACGGACGGGGGCAUUCGUACUGUGCCGGGAGGGGUGAAAUCCGUGGAUCGGCGCAAGACGAACAGAAGCGAAAGCGUCUGCCAAGGACGUUUUCCUUAAUCAAGAGCGAAAGUCGGAGGUCGAAGACGAUCAGAUACCGUCGUAGUUCCGACCGUAAACGAUGCCGACCGCAUGGUCGCCCACGUAUUCAAAGAUCUCACUCGCGUCGCGCGCCUGUGGCGUCGGUGCUCGCGCGUCUUCGGACGGUCGGCGAGGCCGCGCGUCGCGGCCCGGCCGAGGGAUCGGGCAUGUCGGGGUGGCCGUGCCGGGAGGGAAACCGGAGUCUUCGGGUUCCGGGGGAAGUAUGGUUGCAAAGCUGAAACUUGAAGGAAUUGACGGAAGGGCACCACCAGGAGUGGAGCCUGCGGCUUAAUUUGACUCAACGCGGGGAAACUCACCCGGCCCGGACGUUACGAGGAUUGACAGAUUGAAAGCUCUUUCUCGAUUUAGCGGAUGGUGGUGCAUGGCCGUUCUUAGUUCGUGGAACGAUUCGUCUGGUUGAUUCCGAUAACGAACGAGACUCGAAUUUGCUCAUGUAUGCGGGCCCGAUGCUGUGCGUCGUGCGGCUUCGUGCGCGCGUUCGCUUCGGCGUGCGCGCGUGUCGGACCGCUCGUCGCCAGGUUGUGCGAUCGGGUCGCGUUCGCGGCGGCGAAGGUCGCGCGCGACGCGAAAGUAUUCUCAGAAGGACCGGCGGCGGUUAAGCCGCACGAGAUCGAGCGAUAACAGGUCUGUGAUGCCCUUCGAUGUUC
rnacentral:rRNA from 1 species